rnacentral:lncRNA from 1 species
AGAGUGACAGGAGAGCUCCUAGGGAGCUGAUGUCUUUUGGAUGUGGGCAGAUGGCAGGAAUUGAAGAAAGAAGAAUUUAAACGCUGGUUGAUCCAGAGCUCAGAGACCUGGCAUUGCCACGAAGGAAGGCACGGCACAAUCAGAAGUGCCUGGGGAAGCCAGAAGAGGGUGUUGGAUCUCCUGGGACUUGAAAGAGAGGCAACUGAUGUGGGUGCCUGAAAUAGACUAUGGGUCUGGAAGAAGCUGCUGAGUCAUUGCUCUGUGACUGAAUCUAUAUACAAGAGAUCCAAUGAUACACAGACUCUCCAACCUCAACAUGUUCAAAGAGAGUGGAGGAAAGAGGACUGGAGUUCAAUUCCAAAAGCCCAUGGAGCAUCUACCUGUACUUCCAGUUUCAGGGGACCUGAUGGCAUCUUUUGGACCCUAUAGGAAUCUGAACUCAUAUAUACAACCUCAUCCUCCACACAUGUACACAUAAUUUAAAAAAAAAAAAAGAAGAAUCACUAAAGAGGCAAGAUGUGAAGGUAAGAGUAAUAACGAAGCGCCAAUUUCACAUAUUUCUUUGUUGGAGUGCUGGAUGAGCAAAACCAACGACAAAGUGAGAAAGAAUGAGGUGAACAGGAACCCUGGAACAGUGUGCCGGAACACGAAGCACCGCUUCCCUUUUCCGCUGACCAUGAAGCUGUUUCCCGCUGGGAAAUGGACAUUGCACAUUUUGCUUUGAUUUAGCUGAGAGCCUCGCUAAAAUGCCAUGCUUUAAGAAUGGCUAAAAAUAGGUAAGAAUCUAAUCUCUUUCAAAGCCACAUUUGUUUCUUUAACAGCACGUGUCAGAGAGGAAAGGGUCCAUAAACAAAAGGUAGAUGUCCAGUAGCUAAAAUAAGCUGCCGUUUCCUUCCACCGCGCACCCUCAGUAUGGCCGCUCUGCUGUUUCCACCAAGGAACUUCCUCUGUGGCCUGUUUUCCCAGGCUCUGCAGUGGAAGGGAGCCGCCCAGGUUCUUAGGGAUGUUUGUGUUGGAAAAGCGCCCGUCUUCCACCAUGCAGCUGAACACAAUGCUGUCUGCCCGCACUUUCUCCAUCGCCAGAGAACAUCGAUGGGAGCCUCCCAAACACUAGAGACAUCUCUGCACUUCCACUGACCCAACACUUUUUACAAAGCUGUUCCAGGUUGCCAUAAAUGUUGUGUUAUAUUUUCAUAUUAUAGAUGUAAAUGGAGCCAUCACAAGGCUGUCUGUACAAAAAUCUGUCACAAGUCUAGAUAAUUACUUUUGUGCUAGUUUGGCUCAUUUACUAAAAGUCAGGCACACUUAAUAUGUGGAACAUUUACAACUUAGUGACACUUCUUUGUAGAAUAUGAACUCAGUGAUAGUAUGGCUAGGCCCAAAGAAUUACUUAUUUUUAUUCUCCAUUCCUGUCAAGGUUUGUGACGUUUCAUAGCAUUCUGUAUGAGUACAUAAACAGAGUUGGAAACUGUGUGGAGUCAAUAAGUAAAUAAAAUCAGCAGCUCAGAACCACAGAACUUUUAAGCUACAUUGUUAGAUAUAUUUCUCAUGUUUUUGGCUAUACAUACAGUAAUAGGUUUAGAAUGUUAUGCUUCUAAAUAUGCUUCGAAAGGUGUUUUUGUACACAUCCAAACACUUAGUUUCAUUUCUUUAAUGCCUUUGAUCUUUUGUUAGUUUUCAUUAUAUGUAUACAUUUAAAUAUUCCAAUAAAAAUAAUUUUAAAAAUAA